GACGAACGCUGGCGGCGUGCCUAAUACAUGCAAGUAGAACGCUGAAGGAAGGAGCUUGCUCUUUCUGGAUGAGUUGCGAACGGGUGAGUAACGCGUAGGUAACCUGCCUGGUAGCGGGGGAUAACUAUUGGAAACGAUAGCUAAUACCGCAUAACAGUAGAUAUCGCAUGAUAGCUGCUUGAAAGGUGCAAAUGCACCACUACCAGAUGGACCUGCGUUGUAUUAGCUAGUUGGUGAGGUAACGGCUCACCAAGGCAACGAUACAUAGCCGACCUGAGAGGGUGAUCGGCCACACUGGGACUGAGACACGGCCCAGACUCCUACGGGAGGCAGCAGUAGGGAAUCUUCGGCAAUGGACGGAAGUCUGACCGAGCAACGCCGCGUGAGUGAAGAAGGUUUUCGGAUCGUAAAGCUCUGUUGUAAGAGAAGAACGAGUGUGAGAGUGGAAAGUUCACACUGUGACGGUAUCU
rnacentral:rRNA from 1 species